UACAGGGGGUGCAAGCGUUGUUCGGAAUUAUUGGGCGUAAAGCGCGUGUAGGCGGAUCGUUAAGUCUGGUGUGAAAUCCCUCGGCUCAACUGAGGACGUGCAUCGGAUACUGGCGACCUUGAGUCCUGGAGAGGGUAGCGGAAUUCCCAGUGUAGAGGUGAAAUUCGUAGAUAUUGGGAGGAACACCGGUGGCGAAGGCGGCUACCUGGACAGUGACUGACGCUGAGACGCGAAAGCAUGGGUAGCAAACAGG
rnacentral:rRNA from 1 species